rnacentral:rRNA from 1 species
AUUGAACGCUGGCGGCAUGCUUUACACAUGCAAGUCGAACGGCAGCGCGGGCUUCGGCCUGGCGGCGAGUGGCGAACGGGUGAGUAAUGCAUCGGAACGUGCCCAGUAGUGGGGGAUAGCCCGGCGAAAGCCGGAUUAAUACCGCAUACGACCUGAGGGUGAAAGCGGGGGACCGAAAGGCCUCGCGCUAUUGGAGCGGCCGAUGUCGGAUUAGCUAGUUGGUGGGGUAAAGGCUUACCAAGGCGACGAUCCGUAGCUGGUCUGAGAGGACGACCAGCCACACUGGGACUGAGCCACGGCCCAGACUCCUACGGGAGGCAGCAGUGGGGAAUUUUGGACAAUGGGGGCAACCCUGAUCCAGCCAGGCCGCGUGCGGGAAGAAGGCCUUCGGGUUGUAAACCGCUUUUGUUCGGGAAGAAAUCCUCUGGGCUAAUACCCCGGGGGGAUGACGGUACCGGAAGAAUAAGCACCGGCUAACUACGU